rnacentral:RNase_P_RNA from 19 species
GGAGUCGGCCGGGCAGCCGCUGCGGCCCGGGUCGCGAGACCCGGUGCGCGGAGGAAAGUCCGGGCUCCACAGGGCAGGGUGCCAGGUAACGCCUGGGGGGCGUGAGCCCACGGAAAGUGCCACAGAAAACAAACCGCCGAUGGCCCUUCGGGGCACAGGUAAGGGUGAAACGGUGCGGUAAGAGCGCACCGCGCGACUGGUAACAGUUCGCGGCACGGUAAACCCCACCCGGAGCAAGACCAAAUAGGGGAGCAAUGGCGUGGCCCGCGCUGCUCCCGGGUAGGUUGCUAGAGGCAGGUGGUGACACCUGUCCCAGAGGAAUGGCUGUCCCCGACAGAACCCGGCUUACAGGCCGACUCCACCU